UACGAAGGGGGCUAGCGUUGCUCGGAAUCACUGGGCGUAAAGCGCACGUAGGCGGAUCUUUAAGUCAGGGGUGAAAUCCCAAGGCUCAACCUUGGAACUGCCUUUGAUACUGGGGAUCUCGAGUCCGGAAGAGGUGAGUGGAACUGCGAGUGUAGAGGUGAAAUUCGUAGAUAUUCGCAAGAACACCAGUGGCGAAGGCGGCUCACUGGUCCGGUACUGACGCUGAGGUGCGAAAGCGUGGGGAGCAA
rnacentral:rRNA from 1 species